GACGGAGACUGCAAGCGUUACUCGGAAUCACUGGGCGUAAAGGGUGCGUAGGCGGUUAAUCAAGUCAGAAGUGAAAUCCUGUGGCUCAACCAUAGAAUGGCUUUUGAAACUGGUUAACUAGAGUGAGGGAGAGGUAGAUGGAAUUAGUGGUGUAGGGGUAAAAUCCGUAGAGAUCAGAAGGAAUACCGAUUGCGAAGGCGAUCUACUGGAACAUUAUUGACGCUGAGACGCGAAAGCGUGGGGAGCAAACAGG
rnacentral:rRNA from 1 species